AACGAACGCUGGCGGCGUGCCUAACACAUGCAAGUCGAACGAGAAAGGGGCUUCGGCUCCGAGUAAAGUGGCGCACGGGUGAGUAACACGUGGGUAACCUGCCUCUAAGAUUGGGAUAACUCGUCGGAAGAUGAGCUAAUACCGAAUAAGACCACAGUUCCCGCGGGAACAGGGGUCAAAGGUAGCCUCUGCUUGCAAGCUAUCACUUAGAGAUGGGCCUGCGCACCAUUAGCUAGUUGGUAGGGUAACGGCCUACCAAGGCAAAGAUGGUUAGCUGGUCUGAGAGGAUGAUCAGCCACACUGGAACUGAGACACGGUCCAGACUCCUACGGGAGGCAGCAGUGGGGAAUAUUGCGCAAUGGGCGAAAGCUUGACGCAGCAACGCCGCGUGAGUGAUGAAGGCCUUCGGGUCGUAAAGCUCUGUCGGGAGGAACGAAUGCUCCUGAGGUUAACAGCCUCGGGAGGUGACGGUACCUUCAAAGGAAGCACCGGCUAACUCUGUGC
rnacentral:rRNA from 1 species